AACGAACGCUGGCGGCAGGCUUAACACAUGCAAGUCGAGCGCCCCGCAAGGGGAGCGGCAGACGGGUGAGUAACGCGUGGGAAUCUACCCAUCACUACGGAACAACUCCGGGAAACUGGAGCUAAUACCGUAUACGUCCUUCGGGAGAAAGAUUUAUCGGUGAUGGAUGAGCCCGCGUUGGAUUAGCUAGUUGGUGGGGUAAUGGCCUACCAAGGCGACGAUCCAUAGCUGGUCUGAGAGGAUGAUCAGCCACACUGGGACUGAGACACGGCCCAGACUCCUACGGGAGGCAGCAGUGGGGAAUAUUGGACAAUGGGCGCAAGCCUGAUCCAGCCAUGCCGCGUGAGUGAUGAAGGCCCUAGGGUUGUAAAGCUCUUUCAACGGUGAAGAUAAUGACGGUAACCGUAGAAGAAGCCCCGGCUAACUUCGUGCCAGCAGCCGCGGUAAUACGAAGGGGGCUAGCGUUGUUCGGAUUUACUGGGCGUAAAGCGCACGUAGGCGGAUUGUUAAGUUAGGGGUGAAAUCCCAGGGCUCAACCCUGGAACUGCCUUUAAUACUGGCAAUCUCGAGUCCGGAAGAGGUGAGUGGAAUUCCGAGUGUAGAGGUGAAAUUCGUAGAUAUUCGGAGGAACACCAGUGGCGAAGGCGGCUCACUGGUCCGGUACUGACGCUGAGGUGCGAAAGCGUGGGGAGCAAAC
rnacentral:rRNA from 1 species